rnacentral:lncRNA from 1 species
GGCAAACACCACACAGGCAUUCAAGGUCAGAGCCACUAGCUUGCCACAUGGGUGACCUGCCUUCCCAGGAGGCAAGGGUGAGACCUGAACCACAUGCUCCUAAGGCAGCCCAGGCUGGGCCUAUAGACUGCAAGCCCUAGAGGCAAUGAGGAAUGGGGAUGGGAAGCAGGUAUGUGAGACAAGAAACUUCGGGAGGUUUUUUACCUUUUCAGCUUACUGAGACCUUUGAGAAUGUUCUGAGCUUUCAGCAGCAUUGUGUUGUGUUACUUAGGGCUCUUACAUGUAUCCUUUUAUCCUACAUGCAGCCUGUGGCCACCCUGUUAGGAGACAGUUUCCUGAGUCCAGUCAUCUCAGAAACUCCUUGGAAUACCUUGCUGACAGGCUCAAAACUGAGUUUAUGUUCCUAGGCUCCAGAAGCUAACUCCGUCCUGUUCUGCUACUUCAAGUGUUCCAGGUUUGUCUGAUGGCCAGUGGAGGAUGUAAAAAGGGAAGACAGCUGUUAUCCCUUUAUGUAAACUAAGGUAGGAAUCCCUGGGCAGCCAAGAAGGGUGACCUGGAUACAAUGGAGAGACUCAUCAACUCCAGUCAAUAUCAUGUUGAUGAAUAUAAUAGGAGGGGCAGGUAACGGAGCCUGAAAGAGGUGAGGGCUGUGGAAG